rnacentral:rRNA from 1 species
GGUCCCAAAGUCAUAGUUAAGUGGGAAACGAUGUGGGAAGGCCCAGACAGCCAGGAUGUUGGCUUAGAAGCAGCCAUCAUUUAAAGAAAGCGUAAUAGCUCACUGGUCGAGUCGGCCUGCGCGGAAGAUGUAACGGGGCUAAACUAUGCACCGAAGCUGCGGCAGCGACACUAUGUGUUGUUGGGUAGGGGAGCGUUCUGUAAGCCUGUGAAGGUGUGUCGUGAGGCAUGCUGGAGGUAUCAGAAGUGCGAAUGCUGACAUAAGUAACGAUAAAGCGGGUGAAAAGCCCGCUCGCCGGAAGACCAAGGGUUCCUGUCCAACGUUAAUCGGGGCAGGGUGAGUCGACCCCUAAGGCGAGGCCGAAAGGCGUAGUCGAUGGGAAACGGGUUAAUAUUCCCGUACUUGGUGUUACUGCGAAGGGGGGACGGAGAAGGCUAUGUUGGCCGGGCGACGGUUGUCCCGGUUUAAGCGUGUAGGUGUGUGUUCCAGGUAAAUCCGGUU